rnacentral:rRNA from 1 species
GAUGAACGCUGGCGGCGUGCCUAAUACAUGCAAGUCGAGCGAACAGACGAGGAGCUUGCUCCUCUGACGUUAGCGGCGGACGGGUGAGUAACACGUGGAUAACCUACCUAUAAGACUGGGAUAACUUCGGGAAACCGGCUCUAAUACCGGAUAAUAUAUUGAACCGCAUGGUUCAAUAGUGAAAGACGGUUUUGCUGUCACUUAUAGAUGGAUCCGCGCCGCAUUAGCUAGUUGGUAAGGUAACGGCUUACCAAGGCAACGAUGCGUAGCCGACCUGAGAGGGUGAUCGGCCACACGGGAACUGAGACACGGUCCUGACUCCUACGGGAGGCAGCAGUAGGGAAUCUUCCGCAAUGGUCGAAAGCCUGACGGAGCAACGCCGCGUGAGUGAUGAAGGUCUUCGGAUCGUAAAACUCUGUUAUUAGGGAAGAACAAAUGUGUAAGUAACUAUGCACGUCUUGACGGUACCUAAUCAGAAAGCCACGGCUAACUACGUG